GCGGCAUUAACGCUGCUCCUGGAUACAAAAACUAACUAAAUAAAGAAUCUUAAAAAAACUACCAAAAGAUGUGUUCUCACUAAGUGGCAGUGGCAGCCGAAGGUGGGGAUACAUCAUGACGGGAACAGCCUUCGUCAACAGUGGCGGAAACAGACAAGCAAUUACGUCGCCACAGGUACCAUAUCGGUUAAUGCCAAGCAGCGCAGACACACAUGUCGCUCCCCGAUUAUGGUUCCCUUGCGCACCACCAAUCACCGCCUGGUUCUGCAUCAACGGAAUGGUGGGUGCGCUGUGGUAAUAAUAACUAAUACCACUUUUUCGUAAUUUUUGUACAAAUAUUAUUGUCUUGGUAUUAGAGCUUAAAAAAAAACCACGGCGAUGAUCGAUACAUCGAUGUUUUCCAAAACUCGGGAAACAUCGAGGUUUUCAAACAUCGAUGUUUUAUGUUUCCUCUCGUUUCGUUUUUUAAAAGAAGCUCAAUUGCGUAUGCCAAGCUCAAAGAGGGCCAGGAAUGCGAACGUCCUUAUAGUUUAAAGCAAGAAUGUCCUACAAAAUGAAACAACGGCAAUUGUAAGGUGGACAGAAUUUUAGACCCUCGCUUUAAAAAGGAGGUAUUUUGGAAUACAUUUAAUUCCUCCCAAGGGGUUAAAUCGUUAGAGGAGGAACUGCCGCACAUCAAUGCUUCAACAAAAACUUCUACAUCUUCAAGCUCGCCAACACCAGCAUCCACAGCAGAGUCCAAUCAACUAUUCAGUUUAUUAGCUUUGCGACAAUAUUUGAAUGCGAGUAAUUUGGAGCCUGCCCAAAACGCUUUGAAUUAUUGGAAGAUAUCAAAUGACACCGGAUUCAAAACUUCUGCGUAGCGACCACCUCUACUGAAAGUGAGAGGAUGUUCAGUAAAGUUGGACUUGUUGUUAGCGAAUAGCAAAGCUCGCUAAUUCCCAAAAAUGUGAACAUGAUAUUAUUUCUAAACAAAAAUGAUUGGAUAUCUUAAUUUUAGUUAUGUUACUUUCUUCUUAUAUUUUUAAGUAA